UACGUAGGGUGCGAGCGUUAAUCGGAAUUACUGGGCGUAAAGCGUGCGCAGGCGGUCUGUUAAGACAGAUGUGAAAUCCCCGGGCUUAACCUGGGAAUGGCAUUGGUGACUGCACGGCUAGAGUGUGUCAGAGGGGGGUAGAAUUCCACGUGUAGCAGUGAAAUGCGUAGAGAUGUGGAGGAACACCGAUGGCGAAGGCAAUCCCCUGGGCCUGCACUGACGCUCAUGCACGAAAGCGUGGGGAGCAAACAGG
rnacentral:rRNA from 1 species